rnacentral:lncRNA from 1 species
CAAAGUCGGCUCCUUCUGCCUGCAGGGCGGGCGGGGGACCACUAAGCUAAAUCCCUGGCCCCAACAACACCCUCAUUCUUAAAGACUUACUGGGUCAGUUUUGUCCCGGACCCCUCAGCUAUAGAGAGCCGCCUUGCUGACACAUCUGGCCUAUCUGGGCCAGUCCACAGCCACUAGGCAGUCAGCUGUAGGGUGCAAAGCCUCAAGUCAGGACAGCCGUGGGGCCCCAUCCCCACCCGGGGCUCCAGGACCCACUGGUCUUUGUUGCAACCAACUCCAGUUCGACUCUGUCUUCGCCCUGAAACCUUCCUGUCUGCUGUGUUACUUCCUUGAACCACCACAGCUUGAUCUGGAGGGCACCGGGCAAGUAUGAGACCCAUCUUUCAGAUCUGCUGCCCAAGGAACCUGACAAAAGAUCAAAUAGAAAGGCGCAUUUACUAUCCCUCCCGUAGCGAGAAGAGCCCUCUCAGUUUUACAGUGGGAAUGAACAGCGGUCAAUGGACAAGAAGUCUGCAAGAAAGACAUACACAGAGCUACUUCAGACUUAUAUACCAGAGAUGCCCAUUUGAAGAAUGCCAUACGCUGAGUGACAGGUUUCAUAGAAGACUCGAUGAAAGACAACGUAUAAGCUUUAGAAAGGCAGACAUCACGAUGACAAAGCUUUCUUCCUGGAGAAUGGGAUGAUUUCCCGUUUUCUUCCUCUGCUGUGCUUUGGAGAGCAGCGGGACACAUUGUGCACGUGUGGCUGCUGUGCCGGGGAAGUGCUCUAUCAAAGCAUGAAACAUAAAGAAAUUUAAAGACGCUUAAAGUUCCCCUGUCUCUCUCUCUCUCUCACACACACACACACA